UACGUAGGGGGCGAGCGUUGUCCGGAAUUAUUGGGCGUAAAGGGUCCGUAGGCGGUCGUGCAAGUUUGGGGUGACAGUGCUCAGCUUAACUGAGCAAGUGCUUCAAAAACUGCGCGACUUGAGGGCUUCAGAGGGAUGCGGAACUCCGGGUGGAGUGGUGAAAUGCGUAGAUAUCCGGAAGAACACCAAAGGCGAAGGCAGCAUCCUGGGAAGUACCUGACGCUCAGGGACGAAAGCUAGGGGAG
rnacentral:rRNA from 1 species